rnacentral:rRNA from 1 species
GAGUUUGAUCCUUGGCUCCAGAGCGAACGCUGGCGGCAGGCCUAAUACAUGCAAGUCGAACGCCCCUUCGGGGGAGUGGCGGACGGGUGAGUAACGCGUGGGAAUAUGCCCUAUGGUGCGGAACAACUGAGGGAAACUUCAGCUAAUACCGCAUGUGCCCUGAGGGGGAAAGAUUUAUCGCCAUAGGAGUAGCCCGCGUUGGAUUAGCUAGUUGGUGGGGUAAUGGCUCACCAAGNCUACGAUCCAUAGCUGGUCUGAGAGGAUGAUCAGCCACACUGGGACUGAGACACGGCCCAGACUCCUACGGGACGCAGCAGAAGGGCGAAUUCUGCA